GACACAGAGAUGCAUUGGCUUUGGUAAAAAUGGUUCUUGUAAUCUUUCUCACAACAGAUGCAUGGCAAAAAAGGAAGAUAGCAUGGUACAGGCAUUAAGGAAAUUGAUAUCCAUUUAGUGAGACAUCAAGAUGAUACAACAGAUGGUCCUGCAUUGUGGCCUAACCAAGGAAAAGGUGCAGACAUCAAGAUCAGUUACCUCCAUCAACUGGCAAAGGCAUCAGAUCCAGUGAAGUGGAUGUGGAGGGUUGAGCAACUGGCAGUGUAGAUAUAAGGCUGCUUGAAGAUGGGGACAGCAAAGUGGCCCGUGAUGAUGUAGAUGUUAAGGUGGCAGUGGAUAGAGAUGUGGGUGGUAAAGUGACUGUGGAUGAUAGAGAUGUUGAAGUGGUUGUAGAUGUUGAUGGUAAAUUGACUGUGAAUGAUAAAGAUGUCGGUGGUAAAAUGACUGUGGAUAAUGAAGAUGUUGAAGUGGCUGUAGAUGUUGCUGGUACAGGUGCUAUGGACGACGAAGAUGUUGAAGUAGCUGUUGAUAAUGAAAGUGCUGAAGAGGUUCCAGAUGUUAGUGGCAAACUGACUGUGGACAAUGAAGUGGAUGUUGAAGUGGAUGUAGAUGAUGAAGUGGAAGAUGACAAAGCUGUGGUGAAAGAACAGUUUAUGCAUGUACAUGUUGUGAUCAAAUGUCGUCAUAAAUUUGAUACAUUAGACUGGAAAUGGGCCUAUAGAAGAUUCUCACAAGUGUUUGUGGAUACAUUGUAUAUGACAUAUAAACCUUCAACCUUUCAAUUGUUUAAUGUCAAGGUAUGCAUUUUGAUUUAGCCAGCCUCUGUUACUCGGUUAAUAUUUGGAAAAAUGCAAUAGUCAUGCACAUCACUAUUUCUAGGGUGAUGAGAUAACAAAUGACCAAUUUCUUCUAAAAGUUCUACUUAGUAUCUGGAGGUUUAUUAUUUUCCUAUUAAUUUGUGCUAGAAGUUGCAAGGCUGCAGGGAAAGUC